rnacentral:misc_RNA from 1 species
GAUGAAGAACGCAGCGAAAUGCGAUAAGUAAUGUGAAUUGCAGAAUUCAGUGAAUCAUCCAAUCUUUGAACGCACAUUGCGCCCGCCAGUAUUCUGGCGGGCAUGCCUGUCUGAGCGUCAUUUCAACCCUCAUGCCCCUAGGGCGUGGUGUUGGGGAUCGGCCAAAGCCCGCGAGGGACGGCCGGCCCCUAAAUCUAGUGGCGGACCCGUCGUGGCCUCCUCUGCGAAGUAGUGAUAUUCCGCAUCGGAGAGCGAUGAGCCCCUGCCGUUAAACCCCCAACUUUCCAAGGUUGACCUCAGAUCAGGUAGGAAUACCCGCUGAACUUAAGCAUAUCAAUAAGCGGAGGA